CCUGGCUCAGGAUGAACGCUGGCGGUAUGCUUAAUACAUGCAAGUCGAACGAUGAAGCUCUUCGGAGUGAAUUAGUGGCGAACGGGUGAGUAACGCGUAGGAAUCUACCUUAUAGUUGGGGAUAACCCGGGGAAACUCGGACUAAUACCGAAUAAUCUCUUCGGAGGAAAGGCACUUGUGUCGCUAUUAGAUGAGCCUGCGUAAGAUUAGCUUGUUGGUGAGGUAAAGGCUCACCAAGGCUACGAUCUUUAGCUGGUCUGAGAGGACGAUCAGCCACAUUGGGACUGAGACACGGCCCAGACUCGAUCAGUAGCUGGUCUGAGAGGACGACCAGCCACACUGGGACUGAGACACGGCCCAGACUCCCUCGGGAGGCAGCAGUGGGGAAUUUUCCGCAAUGGGCGAAAGCCUGACGGAGCAACGCUGAGAGGAUGAUCAGCCACANUGGGACUGAGACACGGCCCAGACUCCUACGGGAGGCAGCAGUAGGGAAUAUUGCACAAUGGGGGAAACCCUGAUGCAGCAAUACCGCGUGGAUGAUGAAGGCCUUCGGGUUGUAAAGUCCUGUCCUAGGGGAGGAAUAAUGACAGUACCCUAGAAGAAAGCACCGGCUAACUCCGUGCCAGCAGCCGCGGUAAUACGGGGGGUGCAAGCAAUAAUCGGAAUUAUUGGGCGUAAAGCGUACGUAGGCGGUUUAUUAGGUCAUAUGUGAAAGCCCUGGGCUCAACCUAGGAAUUGCAUAUGAAACCAAUAGUCUAGAGUACUAUAGAGGUAAGUGGAAUUUCUCGUGUAGCGGUGAAAUGCGUAGAUAUGAGAAGGAACAUCAGUGGCGAAGGCGACUUACUGGAUAGAUACUGACGCUGAUGUACGAAAGCGUGGGGAGCGAACCGGAUUAGAUACCCGGGUAGUCCACGCCGUAAACGAUGAGAACUAGCUGUUAGGUCGUAGACUUAGUGGCACAGCUAACGCGUUAAGUUCUCCGCCUGGGGAGUACGGUCGCAAGACUAAAACUCAAAGGAAUUGACGGGGGCCCGCACAAGCGGU
rnacentral:rRNA from 1 species